CUCAACAUCCCAGCUGCACCCUGCUCCAGGAGGACGCAGGAGUUCCCCGUCAGCUGUCCCUUCCUCCGCAUCUCUGUCACUGUGUCCCCGGUGUGCAGACCCCGGUGAGAUGCUGCCACGCACCGUGGGCUCCUGAAGCCAUGGAGCAGCACAGACCCAAGGAGGAGGACGAGCAGGCUGAGUGCGUAAACGUGGGAGGAUACAGGACAGGAGACCCGGAACGUCCGUGCCGUGAGAGACCGGCCGGUCCUCCUGCAGUCCUCUCACACCUGCAGGGUCAGAACAGGUGAACAGACUGAGACGGCUGUUGGUGUGCAGUCCCUGACAGGAGCAGCGGAAGAGCCUUAAGGAAGCGGGGCUCUCCCAGAAGAGAGAGGCACGCAAACACUGCUGCUGUAAAGGUACUUCCCCGCAGUUCUUCCGUGUUUAAGGGACUGGGCUUUACUGGAGGUGCUUUGUCUUGGCCACUGCCACUCCAAACCGAGCUGCAGUGCAGAAGCUGGCUAUCAGAGCUACUGGCAGCAUCGCACUGAAUAUCCAGCUUCAGGUGAUGGGCUGCGACAAUUGCGUGUGCAGCCCUGAGCUCCUCUGCACUCAGCGGUGAGAAACGGGACCCGCCAGAGAUCUGUCAGAGCGCUCCGUCUCUGCUGAGCGCGGUACCGACAGCCGCGCACCGCUCCGCGCCACUCACCGCGCCGCGUCCACCCGCAGCUCCUGGAGGGCCGUCCGCAGGCUGCGCUCCUCCUCGUCCUCGUCGUCGUCGUCGUCGUCCUCGUCCUCGUCGUCGUCCUGCUGCUGCUGCUGCUGCUCCUCCUCGUCCUCGUGCCGCCUGUUUGCAAGCCAAGGACACGUGAAAGGAACGUCAGCGGGACUGAGGCGGAGCUGCACCCAGCCUGUGGUGGGCGACCCAAUAAAAGCCAAG
rnacentral:lncRNA from 1 species